AAAAGUAUAAAUUGUGUUUUGUAUUUGCUUUUCUAUUUCAGCACCUUAAUUGAAUAAAUGUGAUUUGAUUUAUGUAUAAAUUUGUAUUUUAGUAUGUUGUGCAUCACUGAGUUAUAGUACUCAGCGAUUACUUUUUAUUGUUGUCGCAGGUAAAGAGACUGGUAGAGCAGCUGAGUGAGCUGCUAAGGAUUGCUGUGCUACUUUUGAAUAUUUUGUCGGAUAUAAUUUUUACACCCUGAUUGUACAUGGUUAUUUUGAUGUAAUUAGCUGUAUGUGCAUUUUAUAGACUGGUCAUGAGCAGUUGUACAGAUUUUGUAAUAUUAUUAUUUUGAAUUUUCAGAUAUAAAUUUAUACUGAUGUAUGUAAAUUAAUUUUUCUUUAAUGCAAUGUGUAUGAAACUAAUUAUCUCUAUUUUUAGAAAUAUUUGAAUUGAAAUUCUUGAGUUGUGAAAUUUUGAUUUGAAUUAUGGGAGUUGAGCUAAUUUGUGUUGAGUUGAGUUGAAAUGGUUGUUUUGAUUUGAUGAAGUGUUAUAUUGGAAGUGUUUUCUACAGGUAAAAUUUUUUAUUUUCUCAAAUACAGCCGGUACUCUACCGAAAUUUUUCUAAAAUUUGCGG
rnacentral:misc_RNA from 1 species